rnacentral:rRNA from 1 species
GACGAACGCUGGCGGCGUGCUUAACACAUGCAAGUCGAACGGUGAACCCCGCUUGCGGGGGGAUCAGUGGCGAACGGGUGAGUAACACGUGGGCAACCUGCCCCCGGCUCUGGGAUAACUCCAAGACAUUGGGGCUAAUACCGGAUAUUCAUCGCUGUCCGCAUGGGCGGUGGUGGAAAGAUUUAUCGGCUGGGGAUGGGCCCGCGGCCUAUGAGCUUGUUGGUGGGGUAGGGGCCUACCAAGGCGACGACGGGUAGCCGGCCUGAGAGGGUGACCGGCCACACUGGGACUGAGACACGGCCCAGACUCCUACGGGAGGCAGCAGUGGGGAAUAUUGCGCAAUGGGCGAAAGCCUGACGCAGCGACGCCGCGUGGGGGAUGACGGCCUUCGGGUUGUAAACCUCUUUCAGCUCCGACGAAGCGCAAGUGACGGUAGGAGCAGAAGAAGCACCGGCCAACUACGUGCCAGCCGCCGCCGUAACAC